UCUCCCACUGCCGAAAAUGACCUCUUAAUGCCCCCCACCCCUCCUUGGCUGUCUGUCGACAAUGGCGUGGAUGGCAGCUUACGUGGAGGCAAAGAGAUAGCGCGCGCUCGCCAUCGGGUUUUGAGGCCGACCGGUUUGAAACUUUAUCCAGGCUCUCGGGCACGGAUGCGCUCAACACGCCCUCAGUGAGCGAAGCCAUUCUCGUCGGGCGGGGGACAGUGAGCCUGCUGUCUUCUCUGGCAUUCGUGGACAUUGUAACACGGAGGAUGCCCGCGAGACUGGAGAGUAUGAGAAGGAAUUUCUUGACAGGUGAUUCGAGCGAAGAUGUCCGCUCAAUUUGGCGCGGGCACGUGUACAUCUCAAGGAGCAGGUGAAAGAACGCGAUGCCUGUCUGGGCAGCUGCCCGCGAGAAGAGGGAACAACACACACACACAAAAGUCCCCGCUCCACGAUCCGGCAGAACUGUCACGGACAGGGAAAGUGUCCCCUGAACCGACAUGAAACAAAAAGGAACGCACCCCCCCCCCGCCCCCCUUCCUUCUUUUUAUAUAGUCGGAGGCUAUGAUUCAAAGGACUCGAACGUCGUGUUAUAAGGGCUGUAAAUUCCGAGGCUAAAUAUCACGAACGUCCUCCGAUUUAACGGCGGUUUUUUUUUACAUUUCUUUGGGUCUUUCGGUAAAGUCACGCAGAUACGUUGAAAGAAAAUAACAAAA